AUGAAUAUUAGACAAAUAGGUUUCUUAAAUGAACUUUUAUAGCCAGUUCAUUUAAGACGAAGAGGGAAGUUGGUGCAAGUCCAACACGGUCCCGCCACUGUAAGCGAGUAGGAAGGUUAACAAAAAUCCACUAUGUUUUUAAACAUGGGAAGGAAUAACCGACCAAUGAUUCGUAAGUCAGGAGACCUGCCUAUUUGUGUUUUAAACU
rnacentral:ncRNA from 2 species